UCUGUUUUUUUUUUCUUUUUUUUCCUAAUGAUUUUAAUUGCGAAAAGUAAAUUAAUUAUGCGAUUGAUUUUAAUUUCGAAAACCUAGGAUUACAAUUAUAAGUAGUGUCGGCUAAUUUGCAGUUUUAUGAUCAGUUUUUUAUCUUUGUUAGUGGAGAUAAAUAUCGUAAAACGUUUGUUGGAGUGCUAGAAAGAACCUUUUAUGAUGAACUUAUGUGCUUAAUUAUUUACAUUGCAUCUCUUUAUUGUUCUUUUGGCUUGGUUUGUAUUAAUAUAUGAUACUUUAUGUCAUUUACAUUUGUUAAGCUUGUGAUCUUGUGUCAGAGAAUCAAUACAAAUAAUAGUAUAGAGAUUACAAAUAUUCAUUGAUCGAAUCUGACAUGAGGAAAUGGACAACUGUUAUGUAAACUUGAGGUUAUCGAACAACGUUUGUUGCUAUGGCUUGCGAAUGGUGUUUUAAAACAUUAUUCGAUGAAUUAAACAGCAAAUGUGACAGCUAGCUGCUUUGGUCCCUUCACAUUUUGGACGGAGGCGGACUGCAUAUUCUUAUGUAUGAAUGAAAUAUUCAAGUUUUUGCAUACUUUGCUUUGAUUAAACACAUUUACAUCAAUUUAGCAUACUAGGAUGCUGCAUCUCUCGCAAUUGCAAUCAUGAAGAAAAACUUUAGAGGUCAAACGUUUUUAGGGUGUGAUGACCAUCCUUUAUCGCGGCAAGAAAUAAUGGAGUGUGUGAAACGAAGCGGAAAGUUCAGCAAGGAGUUGAAGAAGCUUCUGCAGUGUCAUAGCCAUUGUAAAUAAUUUAUGUAAAAGUUUGUAAACAAUUUAUGUAUCUCUUUACUAUUUUGGUGAAUGUAUUAUUUGAAUAUAAUGGGAUUUGAUAUUGUAAUGUAAUUAGAUUGUGUUGGAUAUGAAUAUAAUUUUUUGUUGUUCAAUAUUGUGUACAUGCACCCAAAGUAGACUCUGUAAA